rnacentral:rRNA from 1 species
GACGAACGCUGGCGGCGUGCUUAACACAUGCAAGUCGAACGGAAAGGCCCUGCUUUUGUGGGGUGCUCGAGUGGCGAACGGGUGAGUAACACGUGAGUAACCUGCCCUUGACUUUGGGAUAACUUCAGGAAACUGGGGCUAAUACCGGAUAGGAGCUCCUGCUGCAUGGUGGGGGUUGGAAAGUUUCGGCGGUUGGGGAUGGACUCGCGGCUUAUCAGCUUGUUGGUGGGGUAGUGGCUUACCAAGGCUUUGACGGGUAGCCGGCCUGAGAGGGUGACCGGCCACCUUGGUACUGCGAUACGGCCCAGACUCCUACGGGCGGCAGCAGGGGGGAAUAUUGCACAAUGGGCGGAAGCCUGAUGCAGCAACGUCGCGUUCGGGAUGACGGCCUUCGGGUUGUAAACCGCUUUCGCCUGUGACGAAGCGUUAGUGACGGUAAUGGAUAAAGAAGCACCGGCUAACUACGUG